GGCAGGAGACAGUCAGCAACAUAGUCUUGUUCUUAAAGGAGAAAAUUAGAGACAUGGAAUUUUUCCCAGGCUGCUAAAAGCAAUACGCAGAUGAAGAUAAAAUACUAAGAGAUAAGUUGCUGGUCACUGUUUCUACAAAAAGACACCUAAAGGUUAGGAGACAGUUGUGGGUUCUCGGACAAGCACUUGACCUCAACAGAACCAGAACAGCAGAUCAUUCCAAAACAGUUUUUAGCUGAGAUUUGAUAAACAGCAGCAUCAUUUGGGGUACAGCUAGGAUGAAGAGAACAUACAGCCUGGGGGGCUGUGCCAGAGAAACCAACUAUCCUGAAGGUGCGACGACUUGUGUGGAAGAAAGAGAAAGAAAGAGAAGAAAAUAGGCUGGGAGGCACAAAAGGCCAGUGGAGGAAAACAAG